CUAGCUCCGUCUGUGAAAAUUGCAGUGCUGAUCAGCCCAAUGUCUUCGGAAUAUUGCUAGGAUUUUUCUUUUUCCUUCAGCUACCGCCUGGCUCCUUCAACCUUGGUUUCUCAUCCAAGUCAUAUCUUUGGCUUUCUUUUUCUCUCUUUAGGGGUUUGGUUGAAAAUUUUCCAAUGUCGCGGCAGAAGAUUCAGAUCAAGAAGAUUGACAACACAGCAGCAAGGCAAGUGACCUUCUCAAAGAGGAGAAGAGGGCUUUUUAAGAAAGCACAGGAGCUCUCAACACUGUGUGAUGCUGAGAUAGCGCAUAUUGUCUUCUCAGCAGCAGGAAAGUUCUUUGAGUAUUCAAGCUCAAGGUUUGGUUGAAAAUUUUCCAAUGUCGCGGCAGAAGAUUCGGAUCAAGAAGAUUGACAACACAGCAGCAAGGCAAGUGACCUUCUCAAAGAGGAGAAGAGGGCUUUUUAAGAAAGCACAGGAGCUCUCAACACUGUGUGAUGCUGAGAUAGCGCAUAUUGUCUUCUCAGCGACAGGAAAGUUCUUUGAGUAUUCAAGCUCAAGGGUUUGUUUGAAAAUUUUCCAAUGUCGCGGCAGAAGAUUCAGAUCAAGAAGAUUGACAACACAGCAGCAAGGCAAGUGACCUCCUCAAAGAGGAGAAGAGGGCUUUUUAAGAAAGCACAGGAGCUCUCAACACUGUGUGAUGCUGAGAUAGCGCAUAUUGUCUUCUCAGCAGCAGGAAAGCUCUUUGAGUAUUCAAGCUCAAGGCAAUCAUAGUAUUCAAGCUCUUUGAGUAUUCAAGCUCAAGCUGGAGAACAGCACCUUUGCAGUCUUGAGCGAAGAAAUUGCCCAGCAGACUCAGAGGCUGAGGAAAAUGAGAGGAGAAGAGCUCCAGGGAUUAAAAAUUGAAGAAUUGCUUGAAGCUGGUCCGUGCAGCAUUGUGGAAGAAAAGGCUGAAAGAAUUCGAAGGGAUCAGUGACCUCCAGAGAAAGGUUGUGAAGCUUUUCGAGCGAUUCAUAUCUGUUUUAUCAUUGCCUGUGAGAUACAUGCAUGUAACUUCUUAAAGAGAAAAAAGAUUAUCCUUAUCACUAAAUGGAAUUGUAAUGAUUUAUUCGUUAUGGUCAAACAAUCAUUUUAAUGAGCUGAACUUCAAAAUUCUGGACAUGUAUUUGGUUAUAUUGCUUUGAGACACUAAUGGAUUGUGAAUCAGUUAUUUUAUUAUGUACUUUGAACUAAUGUAUUAUUUGUACAUCAUCUGAACCAUGGAUAUGUUUUUAUGUAUCAAAAUGAAUCAAGUAACUGCUACAAAAUGUUGCAGUGGCUAAAUCUUCUAUAUUCUUAUUGAAACUGUAACUGUGGUUGCCAUGUGAAUUCAUAGGGAAUAAAUAGCCUCCUUAAGAUGUGUUUCUAGGCAGACAAGUGACAGGUCAAGCAAAAUAAAAGUGUAUUUGAUGGUUUAGAUUGUUGAAAGAGAGCUUAUUUUCAUUCAUUAUUAUGAAUAAUGUAGAUAGUUGUUGAUUAUACAUUAGUUCUCGUAAUUCAGAAAAAGUAAAUAAAAUAUUCCCUUAACAGAAAGGAAAAUAAAAUAUUCUCCUAGUUUAGAAAGAAAAUAUGAUCAUAAAGCUUAAAGAGAACAAGAGAAUCACAAAACAAAAUAAACAUGUCAUUCUACCAUAAAUAAUAGAGACAAAAUAGGAAAAUGCUUUCUGGUUUUAUUGCUUCCCUCAAACUGGAGCAUAAAUAUUCUUAAUGCCAAUCUGAUAAGAAAACUGAUAAGUUCUCCUUUCAUGACCAUCUCUUUGAUAAAAUGAUAUUUAACUAAAAUGUGUUUUCAUUUUCUCAUGAUAUACAAGAUUACUAGCAAAAAGUUGCAGCUUGGUUGCCACUGUACAUUAUCAAAGGGCUUAAUAUAAACUAUUAAUUGGUUCAACAGAUUCUUUAUCCAUAUAAGUUUACAAGCUAUAUCAGCAAUUGCACAGUUUCUACUUUUGCACUAGAUUUGGUGAACAGCAUUCUACUUCUUGCUCCUCUAAGUAACUAAAUUACCACAUACAAAAAGUCUGAUAAGCAUUGGCGGAUUUUCUCUCAAAUUUGGAACUGUCCAAUCAGCAUCUAAAAACUAAGUACUCCAAGCUUUGACCCUUUUUAAUAAUGCACCUACACUAAUUGUUUGUUUGAGAUAUUUGAGGAGUCUGCAAGCAGUUUCCCAAUGUAUUUGUCUUGGGCUUUGUUCACAUAUACUGACUAGUACCAGUAACAACAGAUGUGAUAUCUGGCUUUGUCGCUGCUAAAUAAAGCAAGUUUCUCACCAGACUUCUCAAUCUUCUUUUGGUUUCAAACUUAGGAUUCUUUUCAUCUUCCAAUUGUGAGUUAGAAUCCAUAAAAGUAUCUGAUGGUUUAUAAUCUAACAUACCAGUGUCUGUCAAGAGGUCAUGAACAUACUUUCUUUAGGAUACAACAGUUCUUCUCUUGCAUCUAGUAGCUUCAAUGCCUAGAAAAUACCCCAGUUGUCCCAAGUUUUUUGUUUGGAAGUGUUUCUUCAAUUGACUCUUCACCUCCUCUAUGCCUCCCAUUCUAGAGCUAACACCUGCACACAGUAUUGGGUAGAAAUCUUCUCUCUUGAAUAAGUGUAUGAUGUGAUGAUCACAAGCCAUGAAUCAACCAAUCUCCAACUCUAGCUGCUGAACAAGGCCCUCAAAUUAUUACAAAGCUACCAGUUGUCCCAUGUAUUCACUGUUUACCAUGCAAAACCUCAUCUGCAACCCCCUGGUCCCUGCUCCCAACCAGGGAAGCUGUGAGUUUCUGGAAGACUUGCUAAGGGAAUCUUUGAAGGCCAUUGCUUGAGGCCAUCCCUUUGACCUGGCUCCCAUGUUAUUAAACACAAUCAUAGUUGCAAAAGGAAGUUAUGAUCCAUGAUAGAAUACAUUUUCUUACGAUUACAUAUUCUAUUUCAAGUUAUCCUAUCAUGUACAUAUGAUAUGUACAAGGCAUGAUACAUUGACACUUGACUUUUUUUUUCUUUUUUUUUUUGGUAAUUAAUUUUAAGAAAAAUCAAUUUUGAACUUUUUUUUCUUAAUGAUACCAUAUUCUUUAAUGUACUUUAAAGUUGAAAUAGAAAUUUAGAAAACCCUCUUUUUCUUUUACCCAAACUAUGAAAAGAAAUACAGUUCUUAUGGAAUUUAGGAGUUAACAUCAUCGAUAAUUCUCUUUCUUUUUAAAUUUUUAUUGAGUCCCAUAGAGGAAAGGAAGAGAAAUGACCGUGUGUGAAACAUUUUACAUAUGUUGUCAAAGGCAUAGAUGAAAGAUUGAAACUCGUGUGCAGUUAUUAUUCAAUAAAUAUUGGGGAUAUGUUGUUCAAAUGAAGGACAUGUUAUAUAGAGGAACAGAAUAAUGAUUUUGAGGAUGAUAACAAAUGAAAAAAAAAAAAAACAAAGGUUUUGCUUAGCAUAUUUCAGUUUAAUGUUCCUUUUUAGGUUGUUGGGACCUAGGAGGAUGAACUUGAAAAGUAAGAACUUUAGACAUGUACAUUAACAUAUGUAUUAAUGUUGUCUAUGCAAGUAAAAAAUUAUACUUAUAUGUGCUUGUAAUUUCAUUUUUGGUGUAUUGGUCAAGGACUUGGUGAAUAUGGAACUGUGAUAUUGUAAUAUUUAUUGGAUGAGUUUGACUUGUGGGAAAUUUAUACUUUUAAUUAUAGUUAAAGUUUUUGGAUUCUAUGAAGUUUGUUUUAUGGGUUUUAUGAUGGAUUAAAGACAUUAAUUAUGCCUGUAUUGCCUCUUAUCGUCUUAUUGAUUGGUUAUAUAUUGCUUUUAUAGUUUGUUUUGAUAGUAAAUUUGUUGUAUUUACUUUAUACUUAUUCUUUUCUCUCUUUCCAAUUUAGUAAAUUGAAAACUUAUGAUACAUGAUAAUUAUAUUACACUAGAGUUUUAAAAGGCUAUCAAGCCUUAAGGCCAGGCUAUGCCAAUUACUCUUGAGACUAUAGUCUCUAUAUAGGUUAAUCAAGGCUUAAGCUGCACUUUUGUUGAGGCUGACAACCUUGAGGUUAUAGCCCGGCGGUUAUUGAGGCUUAAGCUUCAAAUAUUUAAAGAGUUUUAAUGUAGUGAGAUGCUUUAUGGGCUUUUUUAUAUCUUUUAUAAGGGGUUUAAACCUCAAUAUUCAAUAAUUUUAAUGAGUUGUGCUUUGGUGGGGUUUUGGUAAAAGCUUACAAGUUUUUGAUGAAAAAUAAUCUCUCUUAUAUCUUUUCAUUUUGAUUUACAACACAUAUAUACAAAGAAUGACUGAUGAGAUUCCUUAAAUUAGGCUACCCAUACAAAAAAUCCCUAAAAUCAAGAAAUUUGAUUGCAAAGGUCCUAUAUGGAAUUUACCUAAGGUUCCUAUAUGGAAUUUACCUAGAUCCUUGGUACAAGAAUCAUGGGUAAGCUUUUACAAGAAAGUAAAAAUAUGGUAGGAGAAAUCAUAUAUAUAUAUGGAGAAAAAAAUAAUUGUUGAUUUCGUGGCCUAUUCUUCUAACACUCCCCCUCAAGCUGGUGCAAAAAUAUUUUGCAUUCCUAUCUUGUCUAAGAUUAUAUAAAAAGGUUGAACUUGGUAAGCCCUUUGUUAGUAUAUCUGCUAAUUGUUUAGAAGAGGGGGUAUACAGAGGGCAAAUUAGCCCAUUAUCAAGUUUUUCUUUGAUGAAAUGUCAAUCUAUCUCCACAUGCUUGGUUAGAUCAUGAUGAAGGGGUUAUGGGAUAUAUUUAUAGCAGCUUGGUUAUCACAGUAUAACCUCAUGGGUCCUUUCAAAGUGAUGCCAAGGUUGGUAAGAAUGAUCUUUAUCCAAAUUAGUUCACAAAUCCAUUGAGCCAUGAACCUAAACUCAACUUAUGCGCUAGGUAUAACCACCAUUGGUUGUUUUUUUACUUCUCUAAGUAACUAGAUUUCCUCCCAAGAAGGUAUAAUAUCUAGAAGUUUACCUUCUAUCGAUAAUUGAUCUAGCCUAAUCAACAUCACUCUAAGCUGCCAAUUCCAUAUUUCUUGUCUUCUUAAAUAAGAUUCCCUUACCUGGUGUAGACUUUAGGUAGCAUAGGAUUCUAUAUAUUGCCUCCAUGUGAGAUUCAUGUGGUGAAUGCAUGAAUUGGCUUACCACACCUACAACAUAUGCAAUGUCUGGUCGAGUGUGAGAUAAAUAAAUAAUUUUCCUCAUCAAGGUCAUGGUCUACCAUAUCAUCCUCUAUUGUUCCUCCUAAUUUAUGAUUUUGCUCAAUCGGAGUCUCUACUGGUUUGCAUCCUAGCAUCGUUGUCUCCCUUAGCAAAUUGAGUAUAUAUUUUUGCUGGGAAAUAUAUAUUCCCCCUUUUGAACAUGCCACUUCAAUCCCGAGAAAAUAUUUUAAACUCCUUAGAUCCUUGAUCUCAAAUUCAUUAGACAAAUAAGUUGUCUUUGAAUUUCCCCCUCAUCAUUUCCAGUAACAAUAAUGUCAUCCAUAUAAACCAUCAAGGUAGUCAACUUGCCAAAGGAGUUAUGUUUGAUAAACAAUGUGUGAUCUCCUUGGCUUUGAUGGUAGUUCAUUCUUAUCAUUGAUUUUGUAAAUCUCCCAAGCCAUGCUCUUAGAGAUUGUUUAAGUCUAUGAAGAGACUUCUUAAGCUUGUAGUGUCAAUAAACCUUGGUGGAGUGUCCAUGUAUACCUCUUCUUAUAAAUCGCCGAGUAAGAAAGCAUUCUUCACAUCAAAUUGCUGCAAAGACCAAUUAAGAUUAGUAGCUAAAGACAAUAUAAUACAAACAAUAUUCAUUUUUGCCACUGGUGCAAAGGUCUCUUGGUAGUCAAUGCCAUAAGUUUGGGUGAAUUCCUUAGCUACCGAUCUAGCCUUAUACCUUUGUAUCGUCUCAUCAGCCUUGUAUUUAAUAGUGAAAAUCCACUUACAACCUACCGUUUUCUUUCCUUUGGGAAGCUCAACCAUAUCCCCAGUCUCAUUUUUUUCCAAGGCUUGCAUCUCCUCAUUAAUUGCUUUUCUUCAAUUAUCAUCUCUAAGGCUCGGUAUGUGGAUGAUAAACGAUGUAAUGAAGUAAAAUUUGAAAUAGGAAUGCUGAGUGCAUUUUCUAGUGCCUUUCCUCAAUGCAAUGGGCCAAUACAAAUCAUCAUAGACACUAGAAUGAGUAUUUUCAUUACAUGAUUUAAGGUUGGAUGAUUGGAUAUGAGAGGAUGUUGUGGAUUUUCCCUUCCUCGAAUACACUUUUAGUUUGGAGGUGUUUGCUGGUAGCAUGUGUUCCCUUUCUUUGAACUGAAUCUCAAGUUCAUUGGCUGGAAUUUCAGUGGGCAAAUUUUCUACGAUUAGCUCUUCAUUAGGAGUUUGCUGGAAUUUCUUAUGUUCACUAGCUGAUUCAUUAGAUGAAUCCAAGGCUGGAACAUUUGGAACAAUAGGGAGUGUUGGUGCAGAAUCUGAAAAUUCUGAGGUUGAAACAUUUUGGACAAUAGGGAGUAUUGAUGCAAAAUAUGAAAACUUCGGGCCUGAAACAUCUUGGACAGUAGGGGAGCUUGAUGUGUUUGAGGUAGAGACAUUUGGCACAUUAACCGGUUGUGGAAGGACACCCUCACCAUUCUCAUAAUUCCUAGAAAAAAUUCCUGACAGCUUAUCUUCCGUUCCUCCAAUCUUCCCUUAAAGAUAAGUGUGUGUGAAAUAUGGUUGACUCUCAAAGAAGGUAACAUCCAUGGUGAUAUAUGACCUUUUUAUGGGUGAAUGAUAGCACUUAUGUUCUUUUUGAUUGGAAGAAUAUCCAAGGAAGACAUGCCUAAGAGCUCUUAGGUCAAGUUUGUCUCUAGAUUGUUUGGCAAUGUGAAUGAAAGAUACACACCCGAAUAUUUUUGGAGGAAGUGUUCCAAUACCCUUAAAGUUAGGAAAAGACAUUGAAAGUACAUCAAUAGGGGAUUUAAAGUCUAUGACUCGAGAAGGCAUUCGAUUUAUUAAAAAUGUAGCAGUCAAAAUGACUUCCCCCUAAUAUGUUUUUGGAAGACUCAUUUGAAAAAGUAAAGAUCUAGCAACUUCCAAGAGAUGUUUGUUUUUUUUCUCUUUGCUACCCCAUUUUGUUGUGGGGUGUCUACACAUGAAGAUUGAUGCAUAGUACCUUCAUUUUAAAGAUAGGUGGCAAGAUCAUGGUUGAAGAAUUUCUUCCCAUUAUCUAACCUUAAGGUAUAGAUUUUGGUGCCAAAUUGGGUACAAACGAAUUUGUGGAAUAUCGGGAAAAUGAAAUUAACUUUUGAUUAGGAUUUUAGGAGAUAAACCCAAGUGGUACUAGUUCAGUCAUUAAUGAAGGUAACAAACCAUCUAGAAUCCAAAAUGUUUGGAUUCUAGAGGGUCCCCAAACAUCAGUAUGUGUUAAACUAAAAGGAGAUGUUUCUUUUUUAUUUCUUAUUGGAAAGGGCACAUGCUGGUGUUUUACAAGCUCACAAGCCUCACAAUGAAAAUCAUAACAUUUAGUUUUGCC